rnacentral:lncRNA from 1 species
AAAACCCCUCUGCAUCCUGGCUAGUUGCUCCUGGUUUCUUUUUGCCAGAAGUCAAAAGAGGAAGCAGAAACACAGUUAUAGAAGUGCAAUUGUUAGUGUUACCUAGAUAUUUCUUUCCUUCUUUUCAGGCAUUAAAGUAGCAAAAUGGGCAUCUAUUGGCCCUGACUUCAGAAGAUGAACAAAGAAGGGCAGAAAGAGAACCACAAUCCUACACACAGGAGAUUUUGAAGUUUCACAAGACAGAAUCUACAUAUAAGAAUGGAUUUAACCCAGAAAUUAUUGCCUGUUAAGAAGCACCCCGCAACAACAAAAAAAGAAAACCAUAAACAAACAAUCAAAAACAAACUUAAACUACAGACCAAGUAAUGGUUUUCUAACACAAAAGAAGACAUGAAUGAAUUCUGAAUCGUCAGCAAUAUUAUGCGUGUGUGAGUUUGGGAUCCACAGAAGCAGAUUCUGAGACGAAGAUUAGUGUGCAAGUGAGCCUAAAGAGUGGAGAAAUGAGGAAAGGAAAUGAGACGGAACCAACCAGUGGUAAAACCCCAUCCACAGCCUGAUCACAUAGGAAACCUCUGCUUUUAAAGCAGAAGAGCUGAGCUUUCAUAACCCAGCGCCAGUCAGUCAUUGAUUGGCUGAGGACCUUGGGCAGGCGGACUACUCAUGACUUUGGGUAGAGUGGCUUUCUAACACCAAGAGGCAUCACUGCAAGGACAUCACAGGAAGAGGACACUGGAAACAAAACAUGUUGGGGUGAAACUAAGGGUUCAUGAAAAUGGAAAAAGUGAUCUUAGGGAAUCCAGAUGCAUAACAAUAGCUAUAAUGGCUACUACUGUGGGUUAUAUUUUUGAUAAUCUCUCGAAUCAUUUCUUGUUGAGAUAAAACGUGGCAAUUAUGGACCAUUGCAUGACAGUUUUUGAGAUGUCUGUUCAGAAAUUCCAAGGCAAUGAACUCCUAUUUGUGUCAUCUAAUAACUCUACUCAUUUUUGGUUUGGCUUUUAUUUUGCUUUCAUUAAUUACAAUGUAUAAGGAGUAAAUGAAAUAUGUGUGUACCAUUUUUAAGAUAAUAAACAAAAUGCUCGUGUGCCCACAACUUAGAUUAAGAAAUAGAGCAUUACGGGGAACUUAGAUGCCACUCCAUGCCCUUGUCUCAUCACACCCUGCUCCUUCCCUAGGGAGGUUGUCAUUUUGUGGAAAGAUCUACCAUUUUCUUUAGUGUUUUCAUCUUUAUUUAGAUUCCAAUAUGACACAUUGUUUCAUUUGGCAGCCUUUUGAAUGUAAUACCAUUUUAAUUAUACACUAUCUAUCCUCCCAGAGCACGUUGCUUUGCUCAACAUCAUGUAUUUAGCUUCACUUUUAUUGACAACUGUAAAUGUGUUUCAUUCUACAGUUGAUGUGCACAUGAGUUGUUUCCAGCUCUUGCCAUUACCAACAAUAUUGUUACUCUGAAUAUCCCUGCAUCUUUGUCUGGGUGCACCUGUGCAAGACAGUAUCUAGAGCAACACUUAGGUGUUCAUUAGUUGUUCCAUUAGUUCUUGGCAAUACUUGAUGUGAUCAGACUUUCUCCUUCAAGCUAUUCUGGUGGAUUUAAAUCUGCAUUUCCCAUAUAGUAAUUAGAUGGAGCAUGCUUUUAUAUUUUUAUUGGUCCUUUGGGUUUUCUCUUAUGUGAAUUAUAUGUUCAAGUCUGUUGGCAAUUUCUUAGGUUAUUUUCUAGGAGUAUUAAAAAUAUAUUUGAACAGUUACAUAUGUUCAAUUUUAUAUGUUAACAAUAUCUUUUCCCAAUUGGAAAUUUAUGUUUUUUUUUUUUUCUUUUUAUGGUGUUUUGGUUGUUUACAAAUGAAAGUUCUUUAUUUAAAUGAAUCGUUUCUUUGAUGUUCCCUCUUUGGGUUAUUCUAUGAAAAUUGUUCUGUUUCGUUUCUUUCCCUGUGCUCAUAGAGGUAGUCUUUUUAUCAUCUUCUAAGGAUAUUAUAAUUUUGCCAUUUACAUUUAGCUCUUUAAUCCACCUGUAAAUAAUUUUUAAGUGACUCUUGAUUUCUUUAAAUAGUUAAAGAAGAUCUGAUGCUUUUUCCCAUGUAAGUUAUAUCUUUCAGCGAGAUCUUCAUUAUACCGAAUCCCACAAAGUAAAACUAUGUUUUAAAAUACGUUAUCCUUCCAGAGUGAAGAAUUGUACCUCUGUUAUCUCUACUGCAAUCCAGUCUCUCUACUUACCUUAAAAGCAGAACAGAACUGCCAAUGCUUGUCUGUACUUUGUGUAUUUAGUAAGUUAGGCAGUUCGUUAAUUAUGCUCUCCUUUAUCCAGAGAGCAUUUAUGCAGCUUUUUCUCUUGUUGUAUUCUUAUUAAAAAAGCAAAUUGAGGUUUCAGUAAGGUGAAGGGGAAGUAGAAGUGAGAGAAAUUAUUAAAGGAAAUGCAAAAUCUAAUAUAUAUCUUCAUAGAGAUGAAUGAAUUUCAGAUGCCAUUUUGACUAUUUUAUGACACACACAUACACAUACACAUACACGUACACAUAUACACACACAAAUCACCAAAGGAGAAGGAUAGUAUGUUUUGAUGUUAUAUAUUUCAAAGCACCAAAAGGAUAUAGACAAAGUAGCAGGAAAAGAUUAUCUUGUCUUCAUUCUAAACUGAAAUUGUAUAGUAGCUAUUAUACACAUUAACUGACUGCAUUAUUGCUUAUCAUUUUUGGAAACUAGUAUAAUUGAUAUAAUAAAUAGUUUCCAGCUGAUAUUAGUGAACCUCAGACUAUGUCAUGUAGAUGGAGUAAAGUCUUUGAAUUUAUAUUUAGAGACCUAAAUAAUGACAAAACUUUGCCACCCACCCGUCCUAAGUGUGAAAUGUGCAGUGAAUGAAUAAAUAAAUGAAUGAAUGGAAGAAUGAAUACUAAAUAGCAGUAUAAAAGUGAGCCACCAGUUUAUGAAUUAAAUUGUUAUAUGAACAAAGGUGGUCUAUCUGUUACAAGUGUUACUGCUGCUUCUAAAUGUUCAAGCAACAGAGCUUUGCCUUUUAGAGUUCUUGUCAUGGUAUUUUUACCAGUAAAGAUUUUAUUUUUUUAAGUAAUUUAUAGUGAGCUUUGGUAUUUUGGUAAAAUAAUUUCAUUGGAUUCUGCAGAAGAAAAAUAAAAUAUUCCAAAAAAGGAUGGAAAAGAAAACAUCUUAACCCAGAGCCUUUUUAUUUCUUUUUGUUUCUUCACAUUCCAAGAUAUCAAAAUGCUUAUCAUUAUUAUUAUUUGUUUCAUAUACUAUAUGUUUAUCAAACUAAGUUUCUCUGUCACAGCUGGAACAAUCAGGAUUUCUUCUGUUGCUUAUGAUAAAUAAGCACUCAAUUGUAAGAAUGUCCUCAGGGAAAGUUCAUUAAAAAAGAAAUGAAAAUGCUGAG